UCACACAAAUAAAUAAUUUAAUAUUUGGAUAAUUGAAUUGGUUUUUGCUGUUAAACUGUUUUUUUAUUUUUGUAACAAAUUGCACUUCAUGUGUUUACAGAUUUGUGCAGAAUUUGAGACAUACAGAAUUACUAUAGGCCCAUUAGAAUCAACAAUCUUUGCCAAAAUGGAUCCGCACUGCAAAACUUAUGAAGAUGUUUGCUUGGACGAAUAAUUAAACCCUCUUUGGUGCCCACUACACAGACUAAUGAAAUUGAAGUAUCCAAAUGAAGACCCUAGCAGCAUGGAGUAUAUGGAUACAGACAUUGCCAGCAAUCAGGAGGUGAUCCAGAAGACUCGUGGGAAUCUAUAUGAAGGUGCAUCGUUGAAGACAGUCCAGCAGAUGUUGGAGUGAUGGAAGAUAAAGUUCUUCAGGACCUAGCAGUUUACAGUAUGCAAAACCAUGUUGCUGGGACUGAUAUAUGGACUUGAGCUUGAACCCUCCUGAACUCAUGUACACAUUUGGAGUACUGAAGAAGUUAUUUCUGGAGCCAGUUCCUGUUCCUGGAAUAAGGUUUGAUUGGUUACCCAUGAAUGCCAAUUAGAAAAUGACAGUAGUUUGAUAUUUCUGCUAUUUUGUGUCAUUUUGUAAUGUGGUUUCAACUGUAUUUAACUGUGUGUAAUUAUUUAUUGCUUAUUUAACAAAUACACUUUUUUUUUUUUUUUGAUCAU